AUACUUACCUGGCAGGGGAGAUACCAUGAUCAGCAAGGUGGUUUUCCCAGCGUGAGGCUCAUCCAUUGCACUGCGGGUGUGCUGACCUCUGUGAUUUCCCCAAAUGUGGGAAACUCAACUGCAGAAUUUGUGGUAGUGGGGGACUGCGUUCGCGCUUUCCCCUG
ensembl:snRNA U1 U1 spliceosomal RNA